AACGAACGCUGGCGGCAGGCCUAACACAUGCAAGUCGAACGCACCGCAAGGUGAGUGGCGCACGGGUGAGUAACACGUGGGAAUCUACCCAUCUCUACGGAACAACUCCGGGAAACUGGAGCUAAUACCGUAUACGUACUGUUGGAGAAAGAUUCAUCGCCACUAGAUGGGCCCGCGUCGUAUUAGCUUGUUGGUGUGGUAACGGCGCACCAAGGCGACGAUCCGUAGCUGGUCUGAGAGGAUGAUCAGCCACACUGGGACUGAGACACGGCCCAGACUCCUACGGGAGGCAGCAGUGGGGAAUAUUGGACAAUGGGCGAAAGCCUGAUCCAGCAAUGCCGCGUGAGUGAUGAAGGCCUUAGGGUUGUAAAGCUCUUUUACCCGGGAUGAUAAUGACAGUACCGGGAGAAUAAGCCCCGGCUAACUCCGUGCCAGCCGCCGCCGUAACAC
rnacentral:rRNA from 1 species